UUCUGAAGCCUCUGUGAGAAUGGCGAACUGCAUUGCUCCAAGGAUUGUGGAUGCAGAAAUGGGAAGGUCUGUGUACACUGCUCGGAAUACCCGGUUAACACGGCUCAGAAAACCUGUGACAGUCUUGGCAAACCAUUGGGUGCCAGCAUGACCUGUGAGAGU